rnacentral:rRNA from 1 species
GACGAACGCUGGCGGCGUGCUUAACACAUGCAAGUCGUACGGAAAGGCCCUGCUUUUGUGGGGUGCUCGAGUGGCGAACGGGUGAGUAACACGUGAGUAACCUGCCCUUGACUUUGGGAUAACUUCAGGAAACUGGGGCUAAUACCGGAUAGGAGCUCCUGCUGCAUGGUGGGGGUUGGAAAGUUUCGGCGGUUGGGGAUGGACUCGCGGCUUAUCAGCUUGUUGGUGGGGUAGUGGCUUACCAAGGCUUUGACGGGUAGCCGGCCUGAGAGGGUGACCGGCCACAUUGGGACUGAGAUACGGCCCAGACUCCUACGGGAGGCAGCAGUGGGGAAUAUUGCACAAUGGGCGGAAGCCUGAUGCAGCAACGCCGCGUGCGGGAUGACGGCCUUCGGGUUGUAAACCGCUUUCGCCUGUGACGAAGCGUGAGUGACGGUAAUGGGUAAAGAAGCACCGGCUAACUACGU